GAUGAACGCUGGCGGCGUGCCUAAUACAUGCAAGUCGAGCGAACAGACGAGGAGCUUGCUCCUCUGACGUUAGCGGCGGACGGGUGAGUAACACGUGGAUAACCUACCUAUAAGACUGGGAUAACUUCGGGAAACCGGAGCUAAUACCGGAUAAUAUAUUGAACCGCAUGGUUCAAUAGUGAAAGACGGUUUUGCUGUCACUUAUAGAUGGAUCCGCGCCGCAUUAGCUAGUUGGUAAGGUAACGGCUUACCAAGGCAACGAUGCGUAGCCGACCUGAGAGGGUGAUCGGCCACACUGGAACUGAGACACGGUCCAGACUCCUACGGGAGGCAGCAGUAGGGAAUCUUCCGCAAUGGGCGAAAGCCUGACGGAGCAACGCCGCGUGAGUGAUGAAGGUCUUCGGAUCGUAAAACUCUGUUAUUAGGGAAGAACAAAUGUGUAAGUAACUAUACACGUCUUGACGGUACCUAAUCAGAAAGCCACGGCUAACUACGUG
rnacentral:rRNA from 1 species